UCCAGGGUAGCCUAGUGGACAUUGCAUCUGCCAGGUAAGCGGAACCCGGGUUCGAAUCCUAUCCCUGGAC